rnacentral:rRNA from 1 species
UACGUAGGGGGCUAGCGUUGUCCGGAAUCAUUGGGCGUAAAGCGCGUGUAGGCGGUUUGGUAAGUCUGCUGUGAAAGUCCAGGGCUCAACCCUGGAAUGCCGGUGGAUACUGUCAGACUAGAGUGCGGAAGAGGCGAGUGGAAUUCCCGGUGUAGCGGUGAAAUGCGCAGAUAUCGUAAGGAAGACCAGUGGCGAAGGCGGGUCUCUGGACAGUUCCUGACGCUGAGGCACGAAGGCCAGGGGAGCGAACAGG